GAUGAACGCUGGCGGCGUGCCUAAUACAUGCCAGUCGAGCGAACAGACGAGGAGCUUGCUCCUCUGACGUUAGCGGCGGACGGGUGAGUAACACGUGGAUAACCUACCUAUAAGACUGGGAUAACUUCGGGAAACCGGAGCUAAUACCGGAUAACAUGUUGAACCGCAUGGUUCAACAGUGAAAGACGGUCUUGCUGUCACUUAUAGAUGGAUCCGCGCCGCAUUAGCUAGUUGGUAAGGUAACGGCUUACCAAGGCAACGAUGCGUAGCCGACCUGAGAGGGUGAUCGGCCACACUGGAACUGAGACACGGUCCAGACUCCUACGGGAGGCAGCAGUAGGAAAUCUUCCGCAAUGGGCGAAAGCCUGACGGAGCAACGCCGCGUGAGUGAAGAAGGUCUUCGGAUCGUAAAACUCUGUUAUUAGGGAAGAACAAAUGUGUAAGUAACUAUGCACGUCUUGACGGUACCUAAUCAGAAAGCCACGGCUAACUACGUG
rnacentral:rRNA from 1 species